rnacentral:lncRNA from 10 species
AGCGUGUUGUUUUCUUCUAUCUUCUUCACGGCCGACUCAGUGGUCAGCGGAAACUUGAUGAUAGCAUAGUGGCCAAGCUUGUUUCUCCUGGGGGUGCUCUUCCGAGGAUAUCUGGGCUGCCUCCGGAGUCGCAGUGUCUUGGGCCGCCUGAAGAUAUUAUUUCCCCCUGAUGCUUUCCUGAAAGCUCCUGCAAUCAACUACAGGUCAGAAUGUUCGUCUCCAAGACAGGACUCCCCCUGAGACUCACAGAAAAGACUAUGACAGGUACUCUGGUUAUAGGCUUCUGAUGAUAUUGCUUAAAUAACUUUAAGACCAUACACUUGACUCAGUUAAGGUCUCCAGAAGUCCGGUUGGGAAACUGAUGGGUUCAUGACACUGCUAACUCAAGAUCCACAAGACUGGAAUUGAUUACAUGGCACUGAAUGAACUGAUGAAAAUUGAUUAUAAUUGUAUAGCUUUUUGGAGCAUUGCUGGUUAAUAUUCUAGUUUCUGGAUUUAAGAAAUCUCUUUCUCUUACUCUAACUGUAACUUACAACAAUUUAGUAGAUUAUACUUUUGUAAACAGAAAUGAAGCGUUUAUCUUUUUUUCUUGCCUGAUUUUUCCAGAAUUUUGAAAUCCUUACUGAAUACUCUUAUUUCCACGAUGAUAUUGUUGUUAGCAAAAGUCCAAUAAGAAUCUAUUCAUCUUAUAACAGGACAUAAUUGGAAAUUUUGGUUAUAUUAUCAAGGUUUUUACUGGAAUAUCAUAUUUAGGGAGUGUACCUAAGAUCAGUUAUGACCAGCAAUUUUAAGGAAGUAAGGUUGACUUUUAUGGAGACAAUGCUUACAAAGCACUGUGGAAAACUUUGAGGAAAGUUCUUCCUCAAAGAUUAUAAAGUCACAACUACCCACUAUUUUUAUAUGUGUGUGUGUGUGUGUGUGUGUGUGUGUGUGUGUGUGUUCCAAAUCACUUGUCCUAGCUUGCUCCAGCAUGCCUGGACAGAACUAGACAAGCCCCAGCCCAUAGUGCAUGCCAUUCCUUAUUUGGAGGUGCUUCCUUAACUAUCCCUGGGCAACUUCCUUUUCUUUCUUUCUUCUAUUCCCCUUACCUAAUUAAGAAAGUUUUAAACUAACAGCCAAUCGGGUAAAGUGUAAAAUGGGAGGUCCUAUUCCAGCCAAUGGAAACUGGACACAGCAGUAGGGUAGACACGUCAGGUUAUAAGUAACUCUGUCUCCUUUGUUUGGUGUGCUCUUGUAGCUGGACAGCUAUUGAGUAGCACCCUUUGUGCAGAAAAAUAAAGCUCGCCUUGCUAAGAGAUCAUUUGUUCCCAUGUUAGUUCUUUUUUUUGGGGGGGGGAACAUAAAAAACUUCAUUCCCAACAGCACUCUGAGAAAACCCAGCCUGAUACCUAGAUUACAGGGUUCACAGCCUUAUAGGUUAGUAAGGAAGGUCAUUUCCUGGUAGGCCCAGGAAUUUAGGGAUAUUUUGGGGCCUCAAGAAGAGAGGAAUUCACACAAAGCUAUAAGGACUGCAGCUGAAAUUUGAUAGUAUGUUCUUGGCUUGGCUUUUAGCCUGAAUAAGGCCUUUAAAAGUCAAAUCUGAGAUUCUGUAUGAAAACUUCCAGCAAAGAAACCUGAAAGCACCUACGUGGUCAUCUCCUGUUCUUGCUGCACUUACGUAAAUAAUCAAGCAAAAUCUAACAAAACUAGACUUAUUUUUAAAACAAGAAUAGUCUUACUUUGAUUAUGAUCAAAAAUGAUGGUUACUACAGAGAGAAAUUUUAUCUUUCAAAGGAAAAGUAUAACACAGCCG